UGGAAGUAAAAGUCGUAACAAGGUCUCCGUUGGUGAACCAGCGGAGGGAUCAUUACCGAGUUUACAACUCCCAAACCCAAUGUGAACCAUACCAAACUGUUGCCUCGGCGGGGUCACGCCCCGGGUGCGUCGCAGCCCCGGAACCAGGCGCCCGCCGGAGGGACCAACCAAACUCUUUACUGUAGUCCCCUCGCGGACGUUAUUUCUUACAGCUCUGAGCAAAAAUUCAAAAUGAAUCAAAACUUUCAACAACGGAUCUCUUGGUUCUGGCAUCGAUGAAGAACGCAGCGAAAUGCGAUAAGUAAUGUGAAUUGCAGAAUUCAGUGAAUCAUCGAAUCUUUGAACGCACAUUGCGCCCGCCAGUAUUCUGGCGGGCAUGCCUGUCCGAGCGUCAUUUCAACCCUCGAACCCCUCCGGGGGGUCGGCGUUGGGGAUCGGGAACCCCUCAGACGGGAUCCCGGCCCCGAAAUACAGUGGCGGUCUCGCCGCAGCCUCUCCUGCGCAGUAGUUUGCACAACUCGCACCGGGAGCGCGGCGCGUCCACGUCCGUAAAACACCCAACUUCUGAAAUGUUGACCUCGGAUCAGGUAGGAAUACCCGCUGAACUUAAGCAUAUCAAUAAGCGGAGGA
rnacentral:rRNA from 1 species